rnacentral:rRNA from 1 species
UGCAAGUCGAACGGUAACAUGAGAGCUUGCUCUUGAUGACGAGUGGCGCACGGGUGCGUAACGCGUAUGCAACUUACCUCUAACUGGAGGAUAGCCCCGAGAAAUCGGGAUUAAUACUCCAUAGUAUUUCGGAAAGACAUCUUUCCGUUCUUAAAACUCCGGUGGUUAGAGAUGGGCAUGCGUCCUAUUAGUUUGUUGGUGAGGUAACGGCUCACCAAGACUACGAUAGGUAGGGGGCCUGAGAGGGUGAUCCCCCACACUGGUACUGAGACACGGACCAGACUCCUACGGGAGGCAGCAGUGAGGAAUAUUGCACAAUGGACGAAAGUCUGAUGCAGCCAUGCCGCGUGCAGGAUGACGGCCCUACGGGUUGUAAACUGCUUUUAUAUAGGAAGAAACCCCCCAACGUGUUGGGGGCUGACGGUACUAUAAGAAUAAGGACCGGCUAACUCCGUGCCAGCAGCCGCGGUAAUACGGAGGGUCCAAGCGUUAUCCGGAUUUAUUGGGUUUAAAGGGUCCGUAGGCGGAAAAAUAAGUCAGUGGUGAAAGCCUGCAGCUUAACUGUAGAACUGCCAUUGAUACUGUUUUUCUUGAGUCUAGAUGAAGUGGGCGGAAUGUGUCAUGUAGCGGUGAAAUGCAUAGAUAUGACACAGAACACCGAUUGCGAAAGGCAGCUCACUAAACUAGUACUG